rnacentral:rRNA from 1 species
AUUGAACGCUGGCGGCAGGCCUAACACAUGCAAGUCGAACGAGUGGCGGACGGGUGAGUAAUGUCUGGGAAACUGCCUGAUGGAGGGGGAUAACUACUGGAAACGGUAGCUAAUACCGCAUACCAUCAGAUGUGCCCAGAUGGGAUUAGCUAGUUGGUGGGGUAACGGCUCACCAAGGCGACGAUCCCUAGCUGGUCUGAGAGGAUGACCGGCCCAACGGGAACUGAGACACGGUCCGGACUCCUACGGGAGGAAGAAGUGGGGAAUAUUGCACAAGGGGCGCAAGCCGGAUGCAGCCAUGCCGGGUGUAGGAAGAAGGCGUUCGGGUUGUAAAGUACUUUCAGCGGGGAGGCGUUACCCGCAGAGGAAGCACCGGCUAACUCCGUGCCAGCAGCCGCGGUAAUAC